rnacentral:rRNA from 1 species
CCAUGCAUGUCUAAGUAUAAGCAAUUAUACGGCGAAACUGCGAAUGGCUCAUUAUAUAAGUUAUAGUUUAUUUGAUAGCACCUUACUACAUGGAUAACUGUGGUAAUUCUAGAGCUAAAACAUGCUAAAAAUCCCGACUUCGGAAGGGAUGUGUUUAUUAGAUUAAAAACCAAUGCCCUUCGGGGCUACAGGGUGAUUCAUAGUAACCUCUCGAAUCGCACGGCCUUGCGCCGGCGAUGGUUCAUUCAAAUUUCUUCCCUAUCAACUUUCGAUGCGAAGGUCUUGUCUUCGCAUGGUUACAACGGGUAACGGAGGGUUAGGGCUCGACCCCGGAGAAGGAGCCUGAGAAACGGCUGCUACAUCUAAGGAAGGCAGCAGGCGCGCAAAUUACCCAAUCCCGACUCGGGGAGGUAGUGACAAUAAAUACUGAUACAGGGCUCUUUUGGGUCUUGUAAUUGGAAUGAGUACAAUUUAAAUCCCUUAACGAGGAACAAUUGGAGGGCAAGUCUGGUGCCAGCAGCCGCGGUAAUUCCAGCUCCAAUAGCGUAUAUUAAAGUUGUUGUGGUUAAAAAGCUCGUAGUUGAACCUUGGGCCUGGCUGGCCGGUCCCCCUCACCGGGUGCACUGGUCCGGCCGGGUCUUUCCCUCUGUGGAACCGCAUGUCCUUCACUGGACGUGCCGGGGAAGCAGGACUUUUACUUUGAAAAAAUUAGAGUGCUCCAGGCAGGCCUAUGCUCGAAUACAUUAGCAUGGAAUAAUGAAAUAGGACGUGUGGUUCUAUUUUGUUGGUUUCUAGGACCGCCGUAAUGAUUAAUAGGGACAGUCGGGGGCAUCAGUAUUCAAUUGUCAGAGGUGAAAUUCUUGGAUCUAUUGAAGACUAACUACUGCGAAAGCAUUUGCCAAGGAUGUUUUCAUUGAUAAGGAACGAAAGUUAGGGGAUCGAAGACGAUCAGAUACCGUCGUAGUCUUAACUAUAAACUAUGCCGACUAGGGAUCGGACGGUGUUAUUGAUUGACCCGUUCGGCACCUUUCGAGAAAUCAAAGUGCUUGGGCUCCAG